rnacentral:miRNA from 1 species
GACCCUCCCUCCCAGACCCUCCCACCUCCUGGACAGCUCACUAAGAAUGCAGCUUCAAUGGAUGCUGUCCAGGAGGUGGGAGGGUCUGGGAGGGAGGGUC